GGCCCCGUAGCUCAAUGGAUAGAGCAACUCUCCGACGAAGGGUUAGGUCCGGGUUCGAGUCCCGGCGGGGCCGCCA
rnacentral:tRNA from 1 species